rnacentral:rRNA from 1 species
UACGUAGGGGGCAAGCGUUGUCCGGAUUUAUUGGGCGUAAAGAGCGUGUAGGCGGCCAUGCAGGUCAGCUGUGAAAACUCGAGGCUCAACCUCGAGACGUCGGUUGAAACCGCAUGGCUAGAGUCCGGAAGAGGAGAGUGGAAUUCCCGGUGUAGCGGUGAAAUGCGCAGAUAUCGGGAAGAACACCCGUGGCGAAGGCGGCUCUCUGGGACGGUACUGACGCUGAGGCGCGAAGGCGUGGGGAGCGAACGGG